CCUGUAUGAUACAUAAUAAAAACAAGUUGAUACAUAGAAAAAUACAUGUUACCAGACUUCAACAGAGUCAUAUUAUAAAACUUGAUACAUUAUACAGAAGGAUGCCCUGUAUGAUACAUAGUACAAACAAGUUGAUACAUAGAAAAAUACAUGUUACCUGACUUCAACAAAGUCAUAUUAUAAAAUUUGAUACAUUAUACAGAAGGAUGCCCUGUCUGAUACAUCAACGACAUUUUUGUUAAAUUUGACAAGUCUCUUUUUCAUAUUGGGGUUUGUCAUGUAUCAUUUUUUUCGAUACACAUAUAAAACAAG
rnacentral:lncRNA from 1 species